rnacentral:rRNA from 1 species
CCUACGGGAGGCAGCAGUGAGGAAUAUUGGUCAAUGGGCGGAAGCCUGAACCAGCCAAGUAGCGUGCGGGAUGAAGGCGCUACGGGUCGUAAACCGCUUUUGCACGGGGAUAACACCCUCCACUUGUGGAGGUCUGCAGGUACCGUGCGAAUAAGGACCGGCUAAUUCCGUGCCAGCAGCCGCGGUAAUACGGAGGGCCCGAGCGUUAUCCGGAUUCAUUGGGCUUAAAGGGAGCGUAGGCGGGCGUUCAAGUCAGCGGUAAAAGCGCGCGGCUCAACCGCGCCCCGCAGUUGAAACUGGACGCCUUGAGUUCACAACAGGCAGGCGGAAUUCGCGGUGUAGCGGUGAAAUGCAUAGAUAUCACGAGGAACCCCGAUUGCGAAGGCAGCCUGCCGGGGUGCGACUGACGCUGAGGCUCGAAGGUGCGGGUAUCAAACAGGAUUAGAUACCCCUGUAGUC